AAGCAACGCGAACAUCCUUACCAGGUCUUGACAUCCUCUGACAACCCUAGAGAUAGGGCUUUGCCCUUCGGGGGACCCCCUGACAGGUGGUGCAUGGUUGUCGUCAGCUCGUGUCGUGAGAUGUUGGGUUAAGUCCCGCAACGAGCGCAACCCUUGAUCUUAGUUGCCAGCAUUCAGUUGGGCACUCUAAGGUGACUGCCGGUGACAAACCGGAGGAAGGUGGGGAUGACGUCAAAUCAUCAUGCCCCUUAUGACCUGGGCUACACACGUGCUACAAUGGAUGGUACAAAGGGCUGCAAACCUGCGAAGGUAAGCGAAUCCCAUAAAGCCAUUCUCAGUUCGGAUUGCAGGCUGCAACUCGCCUGCAUGAAGCCGGAAUCGCUAGUAAUCGCGGAUCAGCAUGCCGCGGUGAAUACGUUCCCGGGCCUUGUACACACCGCCCGUCACACCACGAGAGUUUGUAACACCCGAAGUCGGUGAGGUAACCUUCAUGGAGCCAGCCGCCUAAGGUGACAGAGUGGG
rnacentral:rRNA from 1 species